UACGUAGGGCGCAAGCGUUGUCCGGAUUUAUUGGGCGUAAAGAGCGUGUAGGCGGCUUGGAAGGUCAGCUGUGAAAACUCGAGGCUCAACCUCGAGACGUCGGUUGAAAACCACCUGGCUAGAGUCCGGAAAGAGGAGUGUGGAAUUCCCGGUGUAGCGGGUGAAAUGCGCAGAUAUCGGGAAGAACACCCCGUGGCGAAGGCGGCAACUCUGGGGACGGUACUGACGCUGAGACGCGAAAAGCGUGGGGGAGCGAACAGG
rnacentral:rRNA from 1 species